rnacentral:rRNA from 1 species
CCCACUAUGCUCAACCUUAAAUGGAUACUCCCGCAGAGCAUUNCGAGCUACAGCUUAAAACUCAAAGGACUUGGCGGUGCUCUAUACCCACCUAGAGGAGCCUGUUCUAUAAUCGACACCCCCCGAUAAACCUCACCAUUUCUCGCUACUACAGCCUAUAUACCACCGCCCUCAGUUCAUCUUUCAAAAGAAUAAUAAUGAACAAAAUGAUUAAAAAUAAAAAAGUCAGGUCAAGGUGUAGCAAAUGAAAUGGAAAGAAAUGGGCUACAUUUUUUAUAAUAAAAAACACGGAAUAUUAUAUGAAAUAAAAUAUAAAGAAGGAUUUAGAAGUAAAAAGAAAAAAGAGUGUUCUUUUUAAAUUGGCAAUAAAGCACGCACACACCGCCCGUCACCCUUUUCAAAAUAUAUAAAACUUAAAUAAAUAUAUAAACUUACAAGAAAAGGUAAGUCGUAACAUGGUAAGUCUACCGGAAGGUGGCCUUAGAUAUCAAAAUAUAGCUUAAAUAAAGCAUUUUGCUUACACCAAAAAAAUAUUUGUUAAACCAAAUUAUUUUGAAUUUNUAAAUCUAGCCUAAAUAUAUAAUACUAAUUCCUAAUACACAAAACAUUAUCAUAUGAUAGUAAGGGC